rnacentral:lncRNA from 10 species
CUCAGAAUCAACUCUUCUUAUCCGCACUGGCUCCCACUGCUUGGACAUGGCACCUGAGAGGCCCUCAGACUCCCCCAGCCUCCGCCUAGGGCGCCAGAACAUCUUCCAGCAGCUACAGACCUGGCUCAAGCUGGGUGAAGUCUGAAUCUCAUACCCUUUCCACUCCCUGCAUGGUCACCUCAGUCCUGGACAUACUUGUUCACUGAACAAAAGAAAGCAGCUUGUUUUGAAAGAAGAAACUCCCAGGAAUUGGAAUUCAGCACCUGUUCCGCACUUUCAUAUUUCCUUGUGGGUAAGAGGCAACCUCCUCAUGCUGUCAUACCAAAGUCAAUCUCCACUACACUUUAGUUCUGCCUGUUCUUGAUCUUUAUAUAAAUGGAAACUUG